AUUUUCUCAAGUUGCAUAUCCUGUGUCUCCUGAAAAUUCACAGGCCAACUUUGGAUAAAUGCAGUAGACUGAGUGGCCAGAGAAAGCAACGGUCACUGACUUGCCUUGGUUAUACGUGUGGUAUUUCUCCGUUUGUGCGCACCUUUAUAGGCGCGUACACUCCUUGCAUACAGAUACAGAUAACUGGAAUGGGUAGUGUUCAGAGUAAAGGGGAGAUGGGUGAAAACCAUGAGACUAAUAUCCUGCCACUAUUGUGUAAAUUUAUGUCAGAGCGUUAUCCUGGCAGUUUGAAUCAAAUACAAAAAUGGGUUGAAUUGGGGUUUCCUUCAAAGGGGAGUUUGAGUAAGAAUCAAUUGGAGCAGUUGGAAUUGCAACUGAGGGGGAAGGAGAAGAACGAUGCAGCUCAGCAUGCAGGCCUGUCGAGAAGAAAGCAGAAAAAGAAUGUGGUAUUUAAGGCAGAUUGGGAAGCUUUCAAGAUGUGGAAGUAUGAGUCGGAGAGAAGGGAGAGACAGAGGUUGGUAGCAUUUAAUUCAUUAAAGACCAAAUAUCCUACAAAAAGUUCUGAAACGUGUACCCCUUCUAACCCAAAAACACUUUAUCCUUGUUUUUAUGAGUUCCCGAGGAGAUUGGUGGACACGGAUCUGGACUCCCCCCCUCCCCUCACUGCUCCUCCAGCUCCCGCCUUCAUGAGCCCGCAGUCUCCACGGCAGGAAGCAGCACAAACAACCUUUCCUCGGCUUGACAACAGCCCACCAGGAGGGAAGCCAGAUUCAACCUCCAACACCAGCCAGACGACCUUUUCACCUAUUGUGACCCGCUCGCAGGCUCAACAAAGGCGGGCCUUGCUCAGAGAAGAGAAAAAGACGUUGUUCGAUCCUGCAGCUUCUUUUCCAGUGGAGGGGGCGCAAGGGACGAUGCUGGUUCUCAGACCCUGGUCAGAUACCGAUGUGACCAAGGCAAUGAGCCACGUCUGCAGUCCCAAGGACAAUCUUGCUAAGUGGGAGACUGAUUUUCAGCAAUUUGUCAGAAAAUACCAUCCUAGCAUGUCAGAGCUGCGGCGUCUGAUGUGCAGACUUCUGACACAUGACUAUCACAAGGUUCAGAGUGUGUUCAACACCACAAGAAUGGCUGCUCGCCUUAAAGAUCCUGAUUGUGAGCACGGCACAGAUAUGGACAUUAGAAGUGCUGUAGAUGCUCUCAUUGUGUUGGUAAAAGAACAAUUUCCUCUGAGACUGAACCUCCCCACCGUCACCUCUAUGACACCAUGGCCACAAGAAACAUGCAGCUCCUUCCUGGCACGCCUGACGACAGCUUUUGACAUCCACAGUGGCCUUAAGCGACCUGAUCCAAUGGGGGCACAGCCCCUGAUGCCAUAUGAAGUCCAUCUGAAAGAACAUUUUAUAAGCAGAAUGAGACCUGAGCUUAUACGGAUGGUGAAGAGAUCAUGUGUAACCUGGAAAACGUGUGCUCUUGCAGACAUCCUUCAGCACGCUGAACACGCUGAAGAUGAGUUACACAAGAAAAAGGACAAACUAAAAGGUUUGGAAAAGGCUCAGUAUGCAAUUUUUACGUGCUUGCAGUGCCAACAAUUGCCCAAGGCCAACGUGGAAGAGGAAGAGGUUAUGGAAGAGCUCGUGGCAGAGGCAGAUCAGAUCGGACUUACGGGAGUUAUGAUCCAAGCGUGUGUUACAAUUGUGGACAACAAGGACAUUGGCGAGCAGAGUGUCCUGAGCACAUGAGGAUGAGACACAUCACACGUCUGACUGAGGAAGGCAGAGGGAGGGGCGGACCCCAGAGACGGAGCACCCCAUCACGGAGGAGAAAAUGACAGAGAGCUUCAUGACUGUGUCGAAGUCUUGCAGCAGACAUGCAUACCAAGGCCUGAUCUGUUGGACACACCUCUUCCCAAUGCAGAUCUUGAGCUGUUUGUAGACGGCUCCGCUUCUCGCUCACCAGACACGGGCAGCGGUCAGGUUGGGUUUUCAGUGGUUACAUCACACAGCACACUUGUUAGUGGCAGGCUUCCUUCACACUUCUCAGCACAGGCGGUAGAGUUGAUUGCACUUGCCGAGGCAUGUAAAGCAGCUGAAGGUAAAACAGUUAACAUCUUCGCUGAUUCACGUUAUUCUUCUGGUGCGGAGCUCUUUAGAGACACAGGGGGUUUCUUACGUCAUCUGGCAAGCCUAUUGCACAUCAUACCCUUGUGUCGGCUUUUCUGGAUGCCAUUUUACUACCCAGAGCCAUUGCAGUCAUUAAACGUGGAGCUCACACCUCUUCUCUUGACCCUGUAUCUGUAGGAAACAGGGGCGCGGAUGCGGCUGCGAAGAAGGCAGCCUCGCAGGGCUUCCUUUUCCCCCUGGCUCACAUGCUUUCC
ensembl:lncRNA